rnacentral:rRNA from 1 species
UGGGGAAUAUUGCACAAUGGGCGCAAGCCUGAUGCAGCCAUGCCGCGUGUAUGAAGAAGGCCUUCGGGUUGUAAAGUACUUUCAGCGGGGAGGAAGGUGCUGUGGUUAAUAACCACAGCAAUUGACGUUACCCGCAGAAGAAGCACCGGCUAACUCCGUGCCAGCAGCCGCGGUAAUACGGAGGGUGCAAGCGUUAAUCGGAAUUACUGGGCGUAAAGCGCACGCAGGCGGUCUGUCAAGUCGGAUGUGAAAUCCCCGGGCUCAACCUGGGAACUGCAAUCGAAACUGGCAGGCUAGAGUCUUGUAGAGGGGGGUAGAAUUCCAGGUGUAGCGGUGAAAUGCGUAGAGAUCUGGAGGAAUACCGGUGGCGAAGGCGGCCCCCUGGACAAAGACUGACGCUCAGGUGCGAAAGCGUGGGGAGCAAACAGG